rnacentral:rRNA from 1 species
CGAACGCUGGCGGCGUGCUUACCACAUGCACGUCGACCGGAAAGGCCCCUUUGGGGGUCCUCGAGUGGCGAACGGGUGAGUAACACGUGAGUAACCUGCCCUUGACUUCGGGAUAACUUCAGGAAACUGGGGCUAAUACCGGAUAGGAAUCCUUGCUGCAUGGUGGGGGUUGGAAAGCUUCGGCGGUUUUGGAUGGACUCGCGGCUUAUCAGCUUGUUGGUGGGGUAGUGGCUUACCAAGGCUUUGACGGGUAGCCGGCCUGAGAGGGCGACCGGCCACAUUGGGACUGAGAUACGGCCCAGACUCCUACGGGAGGCAGCAGUGGGGAAUAUUGCACAAUGGGCGGAAGCCUGAUGCAGCAACGCCGCGUGCGGGAUGACGGCCUUCGGGUUGUAAACCGCUUUCAGCAGGGGCGAAGCUUGUGGUGACGGUACCUGCAGAAGAAGCACCGGCUAACUACGUG